rnacentral:rRNA from 1 species
CUACGGGUUGCUGCAGUGAGGAAUAUUGCACAAUGGGGGGAACCCUGAUGCAGCAACGCCGCGUGGAGGAUGACGCAUUUCGGUGUGUAAACUCCUUUUAUAUGUCAAGAAAAUGACGGUAGCAUAUGAAUAAGCACCGGCUAACUCCGUGCUAGCAGCCGCGGUAAUACGGAGGGUGCAAGCGUUACUCGGAAUCACUGGGCGUAAAGGACGCGUAGGCGGGUUGGAAAGUCAGGUGUGAAAUCCCACAGCUUAACUGUAGAACUGCACUUGAAACUUCUAAUCUAGAGUAUGGGAGGGGGAGAUGGAAUUAGUGGUGUAGGGGUAAUAUCCGUAGAUAUCACUAGGAAUACCUAAAGCGAAGGCGAUCUCCUGGAACAUUACUGACGCUAAGGCGUGAAAGCGUGGGGAGCAAACAGGAUUAGAUACCCUCGUAGUC